CUCACGUUCAGAUCAUCGAAAGGCUGUCCCCUCUCCAAAUUGGAUUCUACUUGCAUAAGAUUGCUUGGAAAUGCCAUCACCUUCUUCCCCUUCUUCUUCAGAACAAAUCAAGAUUCCCGGAUGGAUCCAAACAUGCAUCAACACAAGAAGAAGAAAAUCCAUCAGAAAAACAACAACAACAACAACAAAAGACCUCCAAAUCGAUUGUUCUACAGAUGAUACUUACAUAUAGACCGACAGAUGAAGAUGAUGGAGGAAGAAGGUUGUCUGUGGAGGGAAAUUUUUUUAUUUUUAAGAUGGUAGAUUGAUGCUACUCAUAGACAUAGAAAGAAAAAGCUCUUGUGGUCUUUGUCUUUGCCUCUUUGGUCUGCUGUGGUCUGUGAUUUGAAAAGAUGCGAAAAAUGGUGCGGGAUCAACGUCGACAUGAUUGAUUCAUAUGGCUACCUACGUGCGUGGGGUCCAAAGGUCUGGUAUCAAUUCAUUGAACAUUGGUAUGUUUUUUCCUUUUAAAAUAAUAUCUUGUGAAAUAUUAGUAAAUCUAUUAUUUAUAAAACAUCCAGUUUACAAUUUUUUUUUUUUGUCUUUUGUGGAUGGAAAAAAAAAACAACGGUUG
rnacentral:lncRNA from 1 species